AGUUGGUUGUCGUCAACUCGUGUCGUGAGAUGUUGGGUUAAGUCCCGCAACGAGCGCAACCCCUAUUGUUAGUUGCCAUCAUUCAGUUGGGCACUCUAGCGAGACUGCCGGUAAUAACCGGAGGAAGGUGGGGAUGACGUCAAAUCAUCAUGCCCCUUAUGACCUGGGCUACACACGUGCUACAAUGGUUGGUACAACGAGUUGCGAGUCGGUGACGGCGAGCUAAUCUCUUAAAGCCAAUCUCAGUUCGGAUUGUAGGCUGCAACUCGCCUACAUGAAGUCGGAAUCGCUAGUAAUCGCGGAUCAGCACGCCGCGGUGAAUACGUUCCCGGGCCUU
rnacentral:rRNA from 1 species